rnacentral:rRNA from 1 species
UGGGGAAUAUUGGACAAUGGGCGCAAGCCUGAUCCAGCCAUGCCGCGUGUGUGAAGAAGGCCUUUUGGUUGUAAAGCACUUUAAGCGAGGAGGAGGCUACUUGGAUUAAUACUCUAGGAUAGUGGACGUUACUCGCAGAAUAAGCACCGGUUAACUCUGUGCCAGCAGCCGCGGUAAUACAGAGGGUGCGAGCGUUAAUCGGAUUUACUGGGCGUAAAGCGUGCGUAGGCGGCUUCUUAAGUCGGAUGUGAAAUCCCUGAGCUUAACUUAGGAAUUGCAUUCGAUACUGGGAAGCUAGAGUAUGGGAGAGGAUGGUAGAAUUCCAGGUGUAGCGGUGAAAUGCGUAGAGAUCUGGAGGAAUACCGAUGGCGAAGGCAGCCAUCUGGCCUAAUACUGACGCUGAGGUACGAAAGCAUGGGGAGCAAACAGG